CAAACGCCGAGCUGCUGUCUCUAACAGGCUGUGAAUAACACCUCAUGACGCUUCAGCCGUGGCACUGAUCCCACCGGAUCAGCGGGCAUAACGCCCCUGCCACCAGGGUUCUGUGGGAAACCACCGGGCCUCCCGUAUUUGGAAAGGUGUAUAUGAC
rnacentral:ncRNA from 1 species